CGGGAGGCAGCAGUAGGGAAUCUUGGACAAUGGGCGCAAGCCUGAUCCAGCCAUGCCGCGUGAGUGAAGAAGGCCUUAGGGUCGUAAAGCUCUUUCGCCUGUGAUGAUAAUGACAGUAGCAGGUAAAGAAACCCCGGCUAACUCCGUGCCAGCAGCCGCGGUAAUACGGAGGGGGUUAGCGUUGUUCGGAAUUACUGGGCGUAAAGCGCGCGUAGGCGGAUUGGAAAGUUAGAGGUGAAAUCCCGGGGCUCAACCCCGGAACGGCCUUUAAAACUCCCAGUCUAGAGUUCGAGAGAGGUGAGUGGAAUUCCAAGUGUAGAGGUGAAAUUCGUAGAUAUUUGGAGGAACACCAGUGGCGAAGGCGGCUCACUGGCUCGAUACUGACGCUGAGGUGCGAAAGUGUGGGGAGCAAACAGGAUUAGAUACCCUGGUAGUCCACACCGUAAACGAUGAAUGCCAGUCGUCGGAUAGUAUACUAUUCGGUGACACACCUAACGGAUUAAGCAUUCCGCCUGGGGAGUACGGUCGCAAGAUUAAAACUCAAAGGAAUUGACGG
rnacentral:rRNA from 1 species